GAGGACCGCUGGCGGCGUGCCUAAUACAUGCAAGUCGAGCGAACAGACGAGGAGCUUGCUCCUCUGACGUUAGCGGCGGACGGGUGAGUAACACGUGGAUAACCUACCUAUAAGACUGGGAUAACUUCGGGAAACCGGAGCUAAUACCGGAUAAUAUAUUGAACCGCAUGGUUCAAUAGUGAAAGACGGUUUUGCUGUCACUUAUAGAUGGAUCCGCGCCGCAUUAGCUAGUUGGUAAGGUAACGGCUUACCAAGGCGACGAUGCGUAGCCGACCUGAGAGGGUGAUCGGCCACACUGGAACUGAGACACGGUCCAGACUCCUACGGGAGGCAGCAGUAGGGAAUCUUCCGCAAUGGGCGAAAGCCUGACGGAGCAACGCCGCGUGAGUGAUGAAGGUCUUCGGAUCGUAAAACUCUGUUAUUAGGGAAGAACAAAUGUGUAAGUAACUAUGCACGUCUUGACGGUACCUAAUCAGAAAGCCACGGCUAACUACGUG
rnacentral:rRNA from 1 species